GAUGAACGCUAGCGGCAGGCUUAAUACAUGCAAGUCGAGGGGCAGCAGGACUGUAGCAAUACAGUUGCUGGCGACCGGCAAACGGGUGCGAAACACGUACGCAACCUUCCUUUAAGUGAGGAAUAGCCCAGGGAAACUUGGAUUAAUACCUCGUAAUAUUAGAGAGUGGCAUCACUUUCUAAUUAUAGCUCAGGCGCUUA
rnacentral:rRNA from 1 species